GACUUUUAAUAUUUUCCUACCAUCAUUCUUCAGCAUUUCUCAGUCACUAUACCUGAGCAUGGGACUAAAUAUUGAAGUCUUAAAAUAUUGACACUGUGUUCAGUUGCCCAUCUAUCACAAAAGGCAAGCAAGGCUGAUACAGACUGUAAAAAUGGAUACAUUGAUUUGCUUGAGAAAAUCACCUCUGCUUACUCCUCCCCCUGCCCAGCUAUCCAG